rnacentral:lncRNA from 1 species
CAUAUGAGGCACUCCAUGUUCUACAUUCCCAAGUUUUUAAUCUUCUCAUCAAAGUAGGUGAGACUGCACAGAUCCAGUCGAUCUGUAGGAUCAUCCAGAGCCUCAAAGCAGGACCUUACCCAGUCCAUUCUCUGCACACCUCUGUGACAGGUGUGAAAGGCACUUGUUCUCCUGGGAUCCUGCAGCAUACAGGUGGGAUGACACACCCUGUUAAGAUUUCUCCACCUGCUAAUGCACAAAUCAGAGAAGACUGAGUCCAGGCCUUCAGCAAAUGGACUCAGGACUGCAGAUCUCCUCUGAAUCCACCA